rnacentral:lncRNA from 1 species
AUGUGCUGGGAGGAAAAACACUGUGACGCGGUCAGCCACGGAUGCAGAGGUCACCAAUCAGGUGUUCAACCUGGCAGCAGAUCGGGCAACGAGGAGACGUGUCCCACAUCCAUCCACACAAACGGAAUGAGACCGUAUUUUUAUGAGUCUGUUGCGGGUCCGUGGCAGAUAUAUGGAGAGGCAUCCAUCCGCAGACUCACUUCUUGCUAGACACCAGUGGAUGGACAGCAGACGUCAUUUCCGUAUCCUCAUUCACUUUUCAAUUUUGACGCGCCACGCAGAUGUCAGUGGUAAGAAAAAAUAAUAAACUGUCAAUGAUUUAUAAGUCAUGUCAGAAUUCAAAUGCACAAACUAGCUAGUUAAAAAAAAUCGUCUUGUUUUCAAGGUACUGUGUCGUGUUUUUUAAAGGUAUUAGUGAACUCUGGUGUGCCUCAAUUCUAGAAUUAACGUUAGGUUGCUACAAUAGAUUUUCCAAUUAAAUCAUUCUUUGAGUGGUAUGAUUAAAUAUUGUAAAUACGUUUUUUUUUUUUUUCACUUGGAUGUGUGAAGAUUGUUCCCAGUUAAUGAGAUCUCAUAGAACAGUCUUGGUAGAGAAUAGUCUAAAAUGCUAGGUUGUCUAUGCACACGAGAGUUUGCUAGCUAGCUAUGUUUUUUUGUUUUUUGUUGAAGUAGUACUUUUCCCUAUGCAGGUGUAAAUGCCUGAUGUUUAAUAUGUUUAUGAUGAUGUUUAAAGCGCUUUGGUGGCCAUGGGUCUGUUGAAAGCGCUAUAUAGCCUAAAUGCAGUACAUUUACCAUUUUACAUAUUUUGUAUAGGAGAAUGUUAACAUUUAUUUAAGUUUUUUUUUGUUUUUGUUACCACACUAUUUUUUACAGUCCAUCUACCACACACAACUUUUCACCUACAUUGUUCAAUUCCUUUUUUUUUUUUUUUGUAAAGUUAUUAAUUGGAUUUUUGUAAACUCUUAUGAAUUAUAAGGUACUACCAGUAUUUCAUAUGUGUCACUAUACUUAUUACGUAAACAAUCUAUUAAUACUACCCUCUUCUUUUAGGCAAAUCACAUUAGUAUGCGUAAAGGGACGGAGCUACCACCAAUACAGAAAUGCACAGAGUGCUGCAGCCGGUAUCACUGAUUGUGUAAGAUUGUGUAAUUUCCAAUAAAUAUUGCAAAAUCAUGAAGUGCUAAUUUGAUCUGGAUUGUUUGGUAAAUUGUCUGAUCAUGUGAAUCUACAUAUAUUUUAAAAACAGAAGUGGUUACAUUUACAAAAAAUAAAUAAAUAAGAAUUGAAUAUCCAAAUGGGCAAGGCAAAAAACUGUGGUCAGUUAACAUGUACAAGUCUGUUGUUUUGACAAAACGUUAUAGUCCAUUGAUCUAGGCUGAAUUUAAUUCACAAAAAAUAGUGAUAUGAUCUGAACAAUAUAUAUUUUCAAGGUGGUUCUUGUGAAUGCAGUUUGCAUGAAUUAUUGAUGUUAUAAUAUUAAGUAUAUUUUUGAGAAUUGUUUUAUGUAAACAGAUAUGAUAAAGAUCAUAUUUCAAUUUGCACACAGCUUUUAUAUUAUAUAUUUUAAGUCAUAAAAGUAAAAUGACAAUACGGAAAAGACGUGUGCAAUUAAGCCUGCAAAGAAUGCUGUCUAUCCACUGGUGAAAACAGAAAAUAAAUAUGCUGUCUAUCCAGAGGUAAAAAUAUAAAAUAAAUAUGUCUAUCCAGAGGUGAAAAUAUAAAAUAAAUAUAUGUCUAUCCAGAGGUGAAAAUAUAAAAUAAAUAUAUCUCAAUCCAGAGGUGAAAAUAGGAAACAAAAUUGCUGUCCAUCCAGUGGUGAAAACGGAAAUUUGGGCCAAACGGAAAUGACGGAGAAAAUGGAAAUGACGUAGGCUGUCUAUCCACUGGUGUCCAGCCAGUGGUGUCUAGCUGGGUGAGUCUGCGGGGCUGCAGCUGGAUGCUAUAGGAUAUAUGUUUCAAUUUGCGGGUCCCAUACGGACCCGCCGUGGAGGUAAGGUUUUAAUCGCGGAUGCAGCGCAGAGCAACGGCGGGUCCGCGAUUCGCCUUCGUCUCGGAGGCGCAAGUGGACGCUGAUACGGGUCCGUUUCCGGGUCCAUUCCGGAAGCCGCCAUACCUCCGCGGCCAAUCCGCCGUGGAGUCCUUUUCCUGUGUGGGAUGAUUCGCGAACCCGCUCCGAACUCCCGAACUGAUUAAAAUGAUUUGCGAUCCCCAAAAUGACUCAAAUGAUUCGCGAACCCGCUCCGAACUCCCGAACUGAUUCAAGUGAUUUGCGAUCCCCAAAAUGACUCAAAUGAUUCGCGAACCUGCUUUGAACUACCUAACUGACUCAAAUGAUUCGUGAUCACGUAUCGAACUCCAAAACUGACUUAAAUGAUUCGCGAUCCCCAAACUGACUCCAAUGAUUCGCGAACCCGCUCCGAACUCCCGAACUGAUUAAAAUGAUUUGCGAUCCCCAAAAUGACUCAAAUGAUUCGCGAACCCGCUACGAACUCCCGAACUGAUUCAAAUAAUUUGCGACCCCCAAAAUGACUCAAAUGAUUCGUGAACCCGCUACAAACUCCCGAACUGACUCAAAUGAUUCGCGAACCCGCUUUGAACUACCUAACUGACUCAAAUGAUUC